rnacentral:rRNA from 1 species
GAUGAACGCUGGCGGCGUGCCUAAUACAUGCAAGUCGAGCGAACAGACGAGGAGCUUGCUCCUCUGACGUUAGCGGCGGACGGGUGAGUAACACGUGGAUAACCUACCUAUAAGACUGGGAUAACUUCGGGAAACCGGAGCUAAUACCGGAUAAUAUAUUAAAUUGCAUGGUUCCAUAGUGAAAGACGGUUUUGCUGUAACUUCUAGAUGGAUCCGCGCCGCUUUAGCUAGUUGGGAAGGUAACGGCUUACCAAGGCGACGAAGCGUAGCCGACCUGAGAGGGUGAUCGGCCACACUGGAACGGAGACACGGUCCAGACUCCUACGGGAGGCAGCAGUAGGGAAUCUUCCGCAAUGGGCGAAAGCCUGACGGAGCAACGCCGCGUGAGUGAGGAAGGUCUUCGGAUCGUAAAACUCUGUGAUUAGGGAAGAACAAAUGUGUAAGUAACUAUGCACGUCUUGACGGUACCUAAUCAGAAAGCCACGGCUAACUACGUG